UACGUAGGGGGCAAGCGUUGUCCGGAUUUAUUGGGCGUAAAGAGCGUGUAGGCGGCCUGAUAGGUCAGCUGUGAAAACUCGAGGCUCAACCUCGAGACGUCGGUGGAAACCAUCAGACUAGAGUCCGGAAGAGGAGAGUGGAAUUCCUGGUGUAGCGGUGAAAUGCGCAGAUAUCAGGAAGAACACCCGUGGCUAAGGCGGCUCUCUAGUACGGUACUGACGCUGAGACACGAAAGCGUGGGGAGCAAACAGG
rnacentral:rRNA from 1 species